AUCAGAAGAGGAGAAGAAGAGCAGUAGCUGCACAUCAUCCAGAGAAGGAAAUGCAUUACCGUUGGAAGAAGAUGAUCAGAGUGACCAGUUUGCAACAGAGUGAAAGUUCAAUGAUCAUAAGUGCAAGCUGGACACUUUCCGUUUAAUGAAGCUGUGUCGUUUUACUUAAGACGUUAUGUAAUAAUUGGACCACGUGGCCAUCUUCGUUUAUUACCGUUUUAGUUUGUUACUACAGUAAAAGGUGAAAAUGCUGUAACGAUAAGAGCAAAGGAAAUGAGAAAUGAAGGAUAAGUUUUCAGCAUCCAUCUUCUUCUUCCUUCACUCUCUCUCGUUUCUCUCCAUCGACCUCUCUCACCCAUUUCUCACAUGGUAUCAAAGCGCACCUGAUGGUGGUCACUUCAGGGAACGCAACUCCGAUCAUCUUUGGAUCGGUACAGGAUGAAGAAGAUGACGAUGACAUCAACAACACAAAUCAUCAACUCCGUCGCAAUCAUGGCGGAAACUCCAACAAUCCACCUCCGUCUCUCAGUUUUGGUAACCCAUUCUAUCUCAAUCCGAACGAAAACUUAGCCCAAUCCAUCGUUAAUGUUAACCUGGACGGUGGUAACUAUCAACUCUGGAGCAGAUCCAUUAAAUUUGCACUUAAGACUAAACACAAAAUCGGAUUCAUUGAUGGUUCUAUCCAUCCACCAGAGUAUUCUGAUGACAAAUAUACUCUCUGGGAUGCAUGUAACACCAUGGUACUAUGCUGGAUUAUGAAUUCACUGCAUCCAGAAAUAAGGAGAAGCGUUAUGAACCAUGAAAAUGCUCAAGUGUUGUGGAAUGAGCUCAAAGCUCGAUUUGGACAAGCUAAUGCUUUGAGAUUAGCUAACUUGCAGGAUGAGAUUCAUGCUUGCAAGCAGGGCCAGAUGAAUGUCACUCAAUACUACACCACAAUUAAGGGACUAUGGGAAGAGUAUGGACAGUUCUCCCCAAUCGUUGCUUGCACAUGCUUACCUGGGAAUCCAAAUAUCUGCCCUGCUGUGCUAGCAUUCCAGACUAAGCAGGAUACUGAUUACUUGAUCAGGUUCCUGAGAGGCUUGAACAACGAAUAUGAUACAGUGAAAACUCAACUGCUGAUGAUGAGACCUCUUCCAACAAUCACAUCUGCAUAUGACAGUGCCCUACAACAUGAAGAGAAAUUGAGAGGAGGAGCAGUCAUUGCCAAUGAUGUGACUCAAUCCAGUGUGUUUGCUGUUAGCCAAAACUAUAAUGCUGACCAAGCUAAACAAGCUAUGGCUGUCACUGGGGAUAGGAGGCUAUUCUGCAAGUACUGCAGGAAGGACAAUCAUGUGGUUGAGGACUGCCUUAAGCUCAAAAACAAGAAAAAAAGGGAGCAGGAGCAGAAGACUGGAAGUUACUCAGGGAAUCAAAAUGCUGGUAGAUUUGCAGGCAUGGUUACUCAAGAAACUGAGUCCAGCAGUUCUGAUUCAACUACUUCCACAAUUCAUCAUGCUCCUUUCACAUCUGAAGAGCUUCACCAGCUCAGGAGUUUGUUGCAACAAGCGUCAAACCCUCAACACAAGGCAUUGGCAGUGAGCCAUGUACCUCCUCAGACUCCUCAUCAUCAUCCAGGUAUGUAUACUCUAGCUGCUAGUACUGAUUAUGACUUGCUAACUACCUGGAUCAUUGAUACUGGUGCAUCAGAUCACAUCUGUUGCAAUCUUAGGUAUUUCUUUAACUAUAAAGCUGUCGUUGGUGUCUAUGUGUUUCUCCCCAACUCCACAAAAGCCCCUGUCAGUCACAUUGGAUCAGUUACACUUCCUUUCGGACUGAUCCUUCAUGAUGUCCUGCUGGUUCCUAGUUUUGGAUUCAAUUUGGUUUCAGUCAGCAAAUUAACUCAUGACUCCUCUGUGUCAUUGCUGUUUCAAUCCCAAAAAUGUUUGAUCCAGGACCGUAUCACCAGCAGGACGAUUGGUAUAGCAACAACUGUUAAGGGUCUAUACCAACUGCCAGCUCAGGAUUUCAAUCAAGUUUCUAAAAGUGUUCCUCCUCGUGUCCUUGCUGUCAGCUACAAUUUCAAACCUCAAGCCAUUAAUCUCUGGCAUUGGAGGCUAGGCCACCCUAGUGAGGAUAGGAUUCAUUCUUUAAAAACAUGUAAUCCUCAAAUUGUUGCUGAACACAUAGCCCAUUGUGAAGUUUGCCACUUUGCCAAACAGAAACGCUUAUCCUUUCCAAUCAGUGAAACAGUUGCCUCUAAGGCUUUUGAUUUAAUUCAUAUGGACAUCUAGGGGCCUCUAUUAGUCGAGUCCUAUGAUCAUUUUUCCUUCUUUCUUACUGUGGUUGAUGAUUACUCACGAGGAACCUGAGUCUACCUAAUGAAACACAAAUCUGAAGUUCGCUCCCUCAUUGAAUCAUUUUGCAAAAUGGUUAACACUCAAUUUGAAACAAGUGUUAAAUCCAUUAGGAGUGAUCAAGGUAGGGAGUUUGCCAUGACAAAUUACUUCUUAGAACAUGGCAUAAUACAUCAAACCUCUUGUGUAGAGACCCCACAGCAGAAUGCUCGAGUUGAACGCAAACAUCAGCAUAUACUGAAUGUUGCUCGAGCUCUGCGUUUCCAAGCUGGGUUACCCCUCCAGUACUGGAGUGCCUGUGUCCUUCAUGCAGUGCAUCUAAUCAACAGAAUGCCUACCCCUAUCCUGAACAACUUAUUUCCGUUUGAGAAACUUUAUAACGUACCUCCUGCCAUAACUCACAUUCGAGUUUUUGGGUGUCUUUGCUAUGCUUCUACCUUAGCUAGCCACAGAACCAAGUUCCAACCUAGAGCUCGUCAGUGUAUCCUUCUAGGCAUUCCAGCUACUGUCAAAGGGUAUAAAGUCAUGGAUUUAAACAAUGGUCAGGUCUUUCUGUCCAGAGACGUUGUGUUUCAUGAAACCAUCUUUCCCUUCAAGGGUGUGUCAGGUUUAGCCUUACCAAACUUAAAUAAUUAUCCUCCUGAGUUCAUCCCAGAUUCUGAACUCAGGCUGCCUCAUGCAGAAUCGAGUCAGUCUGUCAAUCUAUCAAGCCCUCCUAAUCAUGAUCCAUAUGUUGGUGGUCCUAAUCUUUCGCCUGCAUCUAUGAAUAUACAAACUGAUGAUGUUGAUGUGGUGGUCUCCUCUCCCUCUGAGGGUGGUGAUGACUUGGAACACACAUCUGCGGAUGUUCCUCCAGUAGUCACUCGCCAGUCCUCGAGGGUUAGACGCCCUCCUACUUACCUGAUGGACUAUCACCUUGAUCUAACCGCUGCAAAGCAUGCUCUAGCUGCUGUUGUUUGCUAUGAUUAUCUUUCAGAUGGCCACAGGAAGUUUGCCUUGAGCGUUGUGACUCUCCAGGAACCUAAGACCUACAGGGAGGCUGCUCUUCAGGCAUGCUGGAUUAAGGCAAUGGAGGAGGAGUUAUCUGCUUUGGUUUCCAACCAUACGUGGACAGUUGUUCCCAUUCCACCAGGGAAACAUCCAGUUGGCUGCAAAUGGGUGUAUAAAAUCAAACUGCAUGCUGAUGGCAGUAUUGAACGUCACAAAGCACGCCUAGUUGCUAAAGGAUUCACUCAGGUUUAUGGGGUGGAUUUCCUGGACACCUUUUCUCCUGUUGCCAAGAUCAAUUCUGUCAAAUGUCUGCUAGCAGUUGCUGCUGCUAGGAAUUGGCAUCUCCAACAGAUGGAUGUUUCCAAUGCUUUCCUCAAUGGUGAGCUUGAGGAGGAGGUUUAUAUGCAAGCUCCACCUGGUUUUGACGUUCCACCAGGUCACUGUUGCAAGCUCCAACGAUCCUUGUAUGGUCUUAAACAGGCCAGUCGUCAAUGGUUUGCUAAAUUGACUGAAUCACUCAUACACAAUGGGUUUAGACAAUCUGGAGCUGACUACUCCCUCUUCCUGAAGGGUACUGGAAAUAACAUGGUCGUUUUACUGGUCUAUGUCGAUGACAUCAUCUUGGCAGGAAGUAAUCACUCAGAGAUUGAUCUUGUCAAGGCCUACUUAUAAAAGAUGUUCGAGAUACGAGACCUAGGGCCUUUGAAGUAUUUCCUUGGUCUUGAGAUUGCUAGAUCAAACACUGGAAUCUCAAUAUCACAAAGGAAAUACUGUAUUGACCUGCUCACAGAUACUGGCUUUGCUGAGUUCAAAGGAGCAAAGUCACCAAUGGAUCCAUUGUUACAUCUGACAGCAGAACAAGGAGAGCUGUUGGAGGAAUCAAGCAGUUACAGACAGCUAAUUGGUAGGUUGCACUACCUAACAAUCACCAGGCCUGACAUUGCCUUUGCAGUGCAACAACUGAGCCAAUUUCAAGCCUCACCACGCACUGGCCAUAUGCAGGCAGCACACAGAGUUCUUAGAUAUCUAAAGUUGGCUCCAGGUCAGGGACUUUUCUACAAGUCUGGAGUCUCCCUCGAAAUGAAGGGAUUCUGUGACUCAGAUUGGGCCUCCUGCCCUGAGACCAGGCGAUCUACUACGGGAUAUUGUACAUAUCUUGGAGAAAGUCUAAUUUCAUGGAAGUCUAAGAAACAAUGCACAGUGUCACGCUCAUCAUCUGAGGCUGAGUAUAGGGCCCUGGCACAUUUGGUUUGCGAAUUGCAGUGGAUUACUGGUCUACUAGGUGAACUUGGGGUCCAGGUGAACACUCCUAUAUCUGUGUAUUGUGAUAACAAGUCUGCAAUACAUAUUGCAGAGAAUCCAGUCUUCCAUGAGCGAACCAAGCACAUUGAAAUCGACUGUCAUGUGACCAGAGAACGAAUCAAGUCUGGGCUGGUCAAGCUACUACACGUCAACACAGAAGACCAAGUGGCAGACAUUUUCACAAAACCUCUUCACCGUCGUCGUGUGCACUAUCUCCUUGACAAGUUGGGAAUACUUGACAUAUAUUCGCCAACUUGUGGGAGGCUAUCAGAAGAGGAGACGAAGAGCAGUACGUGUACAUCAUCCAGAGAAGGAAAUGCAUUACCGUUGGAAGAAGAUGAUCAGAGUGACCAGUUUGCAACAGAGUGAAAGUUCAAUGAUCAUAAGUGCAAGCUGGACACUUUCCGUUUAGUGAAGCUGUGUCGUUUUACUUAAGACGUUAUGUAAUAAUUGAACCACUUUGCCAUCUUCGUUUAUUACCGUUUUAGUUUGUUACUACAGUAAAAUGUGAAAAUGCUGUAACGAUAAGAGCAGAGGAAAUGAGAAAUGAAGGAUAAGUUUUCAGCAUCCUCUUCUUCUUCCUUCACUCUCUCUCGUUUCUCUCCAUCGACCUCUCUCACCCAUUUCUCACAUUUUGCAAAUUUGCAUCUC
rnacentral:lncRNA from 1 species